GGAAGGGUGCGAGAGUGGCUGAAUCGAGCGGUUUGCUAAACCGUCGUAAGGAGCGAUACUCCUUACCGAGGGUUCGAAUCCCUCCCCUUCCGCCA
rnacentral:tRNA from 1 species